rnacentral:rRNA from 1 species
AACGAACGCUGGCGGCAUGCCUAACACAUGCAAGUCGAACGAAGCCUUCGGGCUUAGUGGCGCACGGGUGCGUAACACGUGGGAAUCUGCCCUUAGGUACGGAAUAACUCAGGGAAACCUGUGCUAAUACCGUAUGAUGACUUCGGUCCAAAGAUUUAUCGCCUAGGGAUGAGCCCGCGUCGGAUUAGCUAGUUGGUGGGGUAAAAGCCUACCAAGGCGACGAUCCGUAGCUGGUCNGAGAGGAUGAUCAGCCACACUGGGACUGAGACACGGCCCAGACUCCUACGGGAGGCAGCAGUGGGGAAUAUUGGACAAUGGGCGAAAGCCUGAUCCAGCAAUGCCGCGUGAGUGAAGAAGGCC